rnacentral:rRNA from 1 species
CCUACGGGUGGCAGCAGUGGGGAAUAUUGCGCAAUGGGCGAAAGCCUGACGCAGCGACGCCGCGUGAGGGAUGAAGGUCUUCGGAUCGUAAACCUCUGUCAGCAGGGAAGAACGGUCACUGUGCUAAUCAGCAGUGAAUUGACGGUACCUGCAAAGGACGCACCGGCUAACUCCGUGCCCGCCGCCGCGGGUAUACGGAGGGUGCGAGCGUUAAUCGGAAUUACUGGGCGUAAAGCGCUCGUAGGCGGUAUGUCAAGUCAAGGGGGAAAUCCCCGCGCUCAACGUGGGAACUGCCUUUGAAACUGGAAAACUGGAGUGUGUGAGAGGAUAGUGGAAUUCCAGGUGUAGGAGUGAAAUCCGUAGAUAUCUGGAGGAACAUCAGUGGCGAAGGCGACUAUCUGGCACAGAACUGACGCUGAGGAGCGAAAGCGUGGGUAGCAAACAGGAUUAGAUACCCCAGUAGUC